rnacentral:rRNA from 1 species
GACGAACGCUGGCGGCGUGCUUAACACAUGCAAGUCGAACGGAAAGGCCCUGCUUUUGUGGGGUGCUCGAGUGGCGAACGGGUGAGUAACACGUGAGUAACCUGCCCUUGACUUUGGGAUAACUUCAGGAAACUGGGGCUAAUACCGGAUAGGAGCUCCUGCUGCAUGGUGGGGGUUGGAAAGUUUCGGCGGUCGGGGAUGGACUCGCGGCUUAUCAGCUUGUUGGUGGGGUAGUGGCUUACCAAGGCUUUGACGGGUAGCCGGCCUGAGAGGGUGACCGGCCACAUUGGGACUGAGAUACGGCCCAGACUCCUACGGGAGGCAGCAGUGGGGAAUAUUGCACAAUGGGCGGAAGCCUGAUGCAGCAACGCCGCGUGCGGGAUGACGGCCUUCGGGUUGUAAACCGCUUUCGCCUGUGACGAAGCGUGAGUGACGGUAAUGGGUAAAGAAGCACCGGCUGACUACGUG